ACUGCUCAGUAACACGUAGGAAUCUACCCCAAAAUAAGGAACAGCUCGUCGAAAGACGGGGUAAUACCUUAUGGUCCCGGCGCAAGUCGGGUAAAGUACUUAACUGUGCGUUUUGGGAUGAGCCUGCGGCUUAUCAGGUAGUUGGUAGGGUAACGGCCUACCAAGCCUAUAACGAGUAGCUGGUCUUAGAGGAUGGUCAGCCAGAGGGGGACUGAGACACGGCCCCCACUCCUACGGGAGGCAGCAAUCAGGAAUAGUCGGCAAUGGGCGAAAGCCUGACCGCGCGACACCGCGUGUAGGAUGAAGUUCUAAUCGAGCGUAAACUACUGUGGUAAGGGAAGAAGAUCUCCGUAAGGAGAUUUGACGGUACCUUACUAGAAAGGGGCCGCUAACUGCGUGCCAGAAGCGUCGGUAAUACGUGGGCCCCAAACAUUAUCCGGUUUUACUGGGUGUAAAAAGUCGUGUAGGUGUCUUGUUAAGUCUUGUUUCAAAUUCUACGGCUCAACCGUAGACAGGGGCAGGAUACUAGCAGGAUUGAGAUUUCUUUAGGGGGAUCGGAACUCAGGGAGGAGUAGUGAAAUGCGUUGAUACCCUGGGGAACACCAGUGGCGAAAGCGGAUCCCUGGAAGAUUUCUGACACUGAGACACGAAAGCUAGGGGAGCGAAGCAGAUUAGAGACCUGCGUAGUCCUAGCUGUAAACGCAUGCUUGCUAGCCGCAUUUUUUGACCUUCGGGUCACAAGGUGUAGCGUAGGUAACCCGUUAAGCAAGCCACCUGGGGAGUACGGCCGCAAGGUUGAAACUCAAAGGAAUUGGCGGGGGAGCAC
rnacentral:rRNA from 1 species